CGACCUCGAGCGUAGCUUGGUGUUGAGGGCUGUCGCCUCGGCGGCACCCUUUAAAAGCAUUGGCGGCAGCGCAGCUCAAUCGCAACAAAAUGCGUGCAAAGCAGCCAACUGCCCGCCAAAACCUUUUUACAUUUACA
rnacentral:misc_RNA from 1 species